UACGCAGGGACCGAGCGUUGUCCGGAUUCAUUGGGCGUAAAGAGCUCGUAGGCGGCUGUUCAAGUCGAACGUGAAAACUCGGAGCUCAACUCCGAGCCUGCGUUCGAUACUGGACGGCUAGAGUCUGGUAGGGGGAUCUGGAAUUCCUGGUGUAGCGGCGGAAUGCGUAGAUAUCUGGAGGAACACCGGUGGCGAAGGCGGCAUCCUGGACCGGUAUUGACGCUGAGGCGCGAAAGCUAGGGGAGCAAACGGG
rnacentral:rRNA from 1 species